CUUUGGUCUUUCCGUCAAGUUUGAUGGACACAGUGACGCAGAAAUCACCCUACCACGAACAUACAAAAGAAAAGUGCGAGGCCUGUGCGGAAACUUCGACGGGAGAAUUUUGAAUGACAGGAUGAAACCGGACGGCACCGUGGCCAAGUCUGUUCAAGAGUUUGGGGAGAGCUGGAGAGUGUGACAAAGUAAUGGAUGAGAAAACUGCAGUCCGAAAAGCCUGUCGGGAUAUCGCUGACCCACAAUGUUUACCCUCAUCUAAGUUGUUAUUUUCUUCAGACCGAGCUAAACCUGAAGAGUCAAUAGCAUGUAUCAGUGUACACGGUUAACAUCAUGUUUGUUGGUACCAUGCCUGAAUUCAUUAAACUCAACUCGCUAUACCACAA